UUACGGCCAUAUCACAUUGAAACACCGGUUCGCGUACGAUCACCAAAGUUAAGCAACAUCGAGCCUGCUCAGUAACUUGAUGGGGGACCACUUAAGAAUAUUAGAUGCUGUAAG